rnacentral:rRNA from 1 species
UACGUAGGGGGCAAGCGUUGUCCGGAUUUAUUGGGCGUAAAGAGCGUGUAGGCGGCCAGAUAGGUCCGUUGUGAAAACUGGAGGCUUAACCUCCAGCGGUCGAUGGAAACCAUUUGGCUAGAGUCCGGAAGAGGAGAGUGGAAUUCCUGGUGUAGCGGUGAAAUGCGCAGAUAUCAGGAAGAACACCCGUGGCGGAAGGCGGCUCUCUGGGACGGUACUGACGCUGAGACGCGAAAGCGUGGGGAGCGAACAGG